rnacentral:rRNA from 1 species
UAGCUAGUUGGUGAGGUAACGGCCCACCAAGGCGACGAUCGGUAGCCGGACUGAGAGGUUGAGCGGCCACAUUGGGACUGAGACACGGCCCAGACUCCUACGGGAGGCAGCAGUGGGGAAUAUUGCACAAUGGGGGAAACCCUGAUGCAGCGACGCCGCGUGGAGGAAGAAGGUCUUCGGAUUGUAAACUCCUGUUGUUGAGGAAGAUAAUGACGGUACUCAACAAGGAAGUGACGGCUAACUACGUGCCAGCAGCCGCGGUAAAACGUAGGUCACAAGCGUUGUCCGGAAUUACUGGGUGUAAAGGGAGCGCAGGCGGGCGAUCAAGUUGGAAGUGAAAUCCAUGGGCUCAACCCAUGAACUGCUUUCAAAACUGGUCGUCUUGAGUAGUGCAGAGGUAGGCGGAAUUCCCGGUGUAGCGGUGGAAUGCGUAGAUAUCGGGAGGAACACCAGUGGCGAAGGCGGCCUACUGGGCACCAACUGACGCUGAGGCUCGAAAGUGUGGGUAGCAAACAGGAUUAGAUACCCUGGUAGUCCACACCGUAAACGAUGAUUACUAGGUGUUGGGAGAUUGACCCUCUCAGUGCCGCAGUUAACACAAUAAGUAAUCCACCUGGGGAGUACGACCGCAAGGUUGAAACUCAAAGGAAUUGACGGGGGCCCGCACAAGCAGUGGAGUAUGUGGUUUAAUUCGACGCAACGCGAAGAACCUUACCAAGUCUUGACAUCCCUUGACGAUGCUGGAAACAGUAUUUCUCUUCGGAGCAAGGAGACAGGUGGUGCAUGGUUGUCGUCAGCUCGUGUCGUGAGAUGUUGGGUUAAGUCCCGCAACGAGCGCAACCCUUAUGGUCAGUUACUACGCAAGAGGACUCUGGCCAGACUGCCGUUGACAAAACGGAGGAAGGUGGGGAUGACGCCAAAUCAUCAUGCCCUUUAUGACUUGGGCUACACACGUACUACAAUGGCGUUAAACAAAGAGGAGCAAGACCGCGAGGUGGAGCAAAACUCAGAAACAACGUCCCAGUUCGGACUGCAGGCUGCAACUCGCCUGCACGAAGUCGGAAUUGCUAGUAAUCGUGGAUCAGCAUGCCACGGUGAAUACGUUCCCGGGCCUUGUACACACCGCCCGUCACACCAUGAGAGCCGGGGGGACCCGAAGUCGGUUGUCUAACCGCAAGGAGGACGCCGCCGAAGGUAAAACUGGUGAUUGGGGUGAAGUCGUAACAAGGUAG